rnacentral:rRNA from 1 species
AAAGGUGAAAAGCACCCCGUGAGGGGAGUGAAAUAGUUCCUGAAACCGUGUGCUUACAAGCAGUCAUGGCACCUUACGUGUGUUAUGGCGUGCCUCUUGAAGCAUGAUCCUGCGACUUACUGACUGUGCCAAGUUUAAGGCGAUAGCCGGAGGCGAAGCGAAAGCGAGUCUGAAUAGGGCGUUCAGGCGCAGUUAGUAGACCCGAAACCAGAUGAGCUAGCCAUGGCCAGGAUGAAGCUUCCGUAACAGGAAGUGGAGGUCCGAACCCGUUGACGUUGAAAAGUCUUGGGAUGAGCUGUGGUUAGGAGUGAAAAGCUAACCGAAUCUGGAGAUAGCUGGUUCUCCCCGAAAUAGCUUUAGGG